CCGGGGGACGCACGUCUCCGGGCCCGCGCCCGCCGAAGCGCUCUGUGAACCCUGAUGAAGAUGGGCUGUCUGAGUACUGUGAAAAAUUGUCAAAACUUUCAACAAUGGAUCUCUUGGUUCCGGCAUCGAUGAAGAACGCAGCGAAAUGCGAUAAGUAAUGUGAAUUGCAGAAUUCCGUGAAUCAUCGAAUCUUUGAACGCACAUUGCGCCCCCUGGCAUUCCGGGGGGCAUGCCUGUCCGAGCGUCAUUUCUGCCCUCAAGCACGGCUUGUGUGUUGGGUGUGGUCCCCCCGGGGACCUGCCCGAAAGGCAGCGGCGACGUCCGUCUGGUCCUCGAGCGUAUGGGGCUCUGUCACUCGCUCGGGAAGGACCUGCGGGGGUUGGUCACCACCAUGUUUUACCACGGUUGACCUCGGAUCAGGUAGGAGUUACCCGCUGAACUUAAGC
rnacentral:rRNA from 1 species